GAUGAACGCUGGCGGCGUGCCUAAUACAUGCAAGUCGAACGAGUUCUGAUUAUUGAAAGGUGCUUGCAUCUUGAUUUAAUUUUGAACGAGUGGCGGACGGGUGAGUAACACGUGGGUAACCUGCCCUUAAGUGGGGGAUAACAUUUGGAAACAGAUGCUAAUACCGCAUAAAUCCAAGAACCGCAUGGUUCUUGGCUGAAAGAUGGCGUAAGCUAUCGCUUUUGGAUGGACCCGCGGCGUAUUAGCUAGUUGGUGAGGUAACGGCUCACCAAGGCAAUGAUACGUAGCCGAACUGAGAGGUUGAUCGGCCACAUUGGGACUGAGACACGGCCCAAACUCCUACGGGAGGCAGCAGUAGGGAAUCUUCCACAAUGGACGCAAGUCUGAUGGAGCAACGCCGCGUGAGUGAAGAAGGCUUUCGGGUCGUAAAACUCUGUUGUUGGAGAAGAAUGGUCGGCAGAGUAACUGUUGUCGGCGUGACGGUAUCCAACCAGAAAGCCACGGCUAACUACGUGCCAGCAGCCGCGGUAAUACGUAGGCGGCAAGCGUUAUCCGGAUUUAUUGGGCGUAAAGCGAGCGCAGGCGGUUUUUUAAGUCUGAUGUGAAAGCCCUCGGCUUAACCGAGGAAGUGCAUCGGAAACUGGGAAACUUGAGUGCAGAAGAGGACAGUGGAACUCCAUGUGUAGCGGUGAAAUGCGUAGAUAUAUGGAAGAACACCAGUGGCGAAGGCGGCUGUCUGGUCUGUAACUGACGCUGAGGCUCGAAAGCAUGGGUAGCGAACAGG
rnacentral:rRNA from 2 species